rnacentral:rRNA from 1 species
UACGGGGGGGGCAAGCGUUGUUCGGAAUUACUGGGCGUAAAGGGCUCGUAGGCGGCCAACUAAGUCAGACGUGAAAUCCCUCGGCUUAACCGGGGAACUGCGUCUGAUACUGGAUGGCUUGAGAUUGGGAGAGGGAUGCGGAAUUCCAGGUGUAGCGGUGAAAUGCGUAGAUAUCUGGAGGAACACCGGUGGCGAAGGCGGCAUCCUGGACCGAGACUGACGCUGAGGAGCGAAAGCGUGGGGAGCGAACAGG